rnacentral:snRNA from 1 species
GGAAGUGAAGGCAAUUUGGCUGGGAUAUCUAUCACUCCAUUGAUCAGCAGGGUCUAUUGACUAAUCUGGCUGGCUAGGCAUUUUCUCCUUUACUGCUCCAUGUGUGUUCCUCCCAAAGCUGGGCACUCCGUGGAAGAGGACAGUCUUCCCGGAUAGAGGAUGACUGUUCUUAAGUCAAGGAUAUGAGUGGCUGUGCUCUCCUGUUCGAGCCACCAAACAAGCUCUCAAGGUCCAUUCAUAGGAGAAGGUGGGAUGGUCAAGCUUUCAAGACUCUAGACACAUCCAAUUGAGAAGCUGCAUGUGGCAAUCUGCCUUUCUUU